rnacentral:rRNA from 1 species
GGCUGAACCAGCCAAGUCGCGUGAAGGAAGAAGGAUCUAUGGUUUGUAAACUUCUUUUAUAGGGGAAUAAAGUGGAGGACGUGUCCUUUUUUGUAUGUACCCUAUGAAUAAGCAUCGGCUAACUCCGUGCCAGCAGCCGCGGUAAUACGGAGGAUGCGAGCGUUAUCCGGAUUUAUUGGGUUUAAAGGGUGCGUAGGUGGUGAUUUAAGUCAGCGGUGAAAGUUUGUGGCUCAACCAUAAAAUUGCCGUUGAAACUGGGUUACUUGAGUGUGUUUGAGGUAGGCGGAAUGCGUGGUGUAGCGGUGAAAUGCAUAGAUAUCACGCAGAACUCCGAUUGCGAAGGCAGCUUACUAAACCAUAACUGACACUGAAGCACGAAAGCGUGGGGAUCAAACAGGAUUAGAUACCCUGGUAGUCCACGCAGUAAACGAUGAUUACUAGGAGUUUGCGAUACAAUGUAAGCUCUACAGCGAAAGCGUUAAGUAAUCCACCUGGGGAGUACGCCGGCAACGGUGAAACUCAAAGGAAUUGACGGGGGCCCGCACAAGCGGAGGAACAUGUGGUUUAAUUCGAUGAUACGCGAGGAACCUUACCCGGGUUUGAACGUAGUCUGACCGGAGUGGAAACACUCUUUCUAGCAAUAGCAGAUUACGAGGUGCUGCAUGGUUGUCGUCAGCUCGUGCCGUGAGGUGUCGGCUUAAGUGCCAUAACGAGCGCAACCCUUAUCACUAGUUACUAACAGGUGAAGCUGAGGACUCUGGU